rnacentral:lncRNA from 1 species
AAAUUUCCCUGGACAGUGUUGAGUUAUUUGAUGCAGAAGAUCAUAUCUGGGAGAGAGAGUAAAAAAGAAAUCAUCUCUUUCAUUCUUCCAUUAUUUUUUUCUUUGUUUCCUAGUUCUUGUUGGACAACCACUAACAGGACAGGACAUGGAUUCACCUUUUUCUGGUUACAUUUUUCCUCACUUUAUUUUUAAAUGUCUUUAUUACUCUUUUGAAAUACUCUUCAGCUGUUUUUUUCUUUGGCUGAUGUCUGUGGUUGGAUUAAUGUCAUCAUCAUGUGUUUAUCAAUAUUUUUUUAUCACCUAUCAAGUUUUAUUCAGCAAAGGAACUAAAGAAAAUAUAAAGAAGAAAAGAUGAUAAAAAGAUUCUCUCUCAUAGAUACAUUUCUGGAUUUUGAGUUAAACCACAUUAUAA